AUUCUCCACCUGGGCAUCAGUUUUUCUCCUGUAAAAUGGGGACACUAGACCCCCUCCUCCCCUGCGAAGGAUGGUUGGGCAUAUAACAGCUGUGGCUCAUUUAUUGGGGUCCUGCUAUGUGUCAGCCAGGGCGAGCCCCCUUGAACAGCAAGGACCAAGACGGAUGCUUCUCUUCUGGAGCCUCCCUUUGUAGGGGGGUACGAGCACAGGGGUGCUGACACUAAGUGGGAAUAAUAACCUGGCGCACAAAACAAAACAAAACGGAAUAAUAACCUGCCACUCACUGAGCGCCUGCUGUAUGCUGCGAGCUACACGUG
rnacentral:lncRNA from 1 species